GACGAACGCUGGCGGCGUGCUUAACACAUGCAAGUGGAGCGACGAUCCAGGGCUUGCCCUGGGGCAGAGCCGCGAACGGGUGAGUAACACGUGGGUAACGUGCCCCGAUGACCGGGACAACCCGAGGAAACUCGGGCUAAUACCGGAUGUGGACCUCUCACAUCAGUGAGUUGUCUAAAGGUAGCUUCGGCUUCCGCAUUGGGAGCGGCCCGCGGCCCAUUAGCUUGUUGGUGAGGUAACGGCUUACCAAGGCUUCGAUGGGUAGCUGGUCUGAGAGGACGAUCAGCCACACUGGGACUGAGACACGGCCCAGACUCCUACGGGAGGCAGCAGUGGGGAAUCUUGCGCAAUGCGCGAAAGCGUGACGCAGCAACGCCGCGUGGGGGAAGACGGCCUUCGGGUUGUAAACCCCUUUCAGGAGGGACGAAGGUCACACGGUUAAUAGCCGGCGUGACUGACGGUACCUCCAGAAGAAGCCCCGGCUAACUACGUGCCAGCAGCCGCGGUAA
rnacentral:rRNA from 1 species